rnacentral:miRNA from 1 species
CUAACUGAGCUAUAGCCCUUC